UGCAGCCUGUCCCAAGAAGCUAAGGAUACUAGGACCUUAGAAGAGGUCUCAUUUUCCAGCUUUGAGUUCUUCAUCCAGUCCCUCUUUCUCUCUCUAAGUUCAGCUUCAUUUUCUUCUUCUUGCUCUGACUUCUCUCUACUUUUCCACCACUUCCCACCGUUGAAAUUUCAAAUAGGUAAUGUGCUUUCGUUCACGGAGUUGAGAGCUUUCCCUUGAUCCGAUUAGAUUUUUGUUUUGGACGGAUCCUGUUGAACUUGCUUCUGUGCAAGAGUACUGUUUUGGAGUUUCCUCUAAAGAGUGUUGUGCUUGUAACCACUAAGGUAUGUUUGAUGGACGUAAUUCCAUGGACCUCACAGGGGGUUGCAUGGUGGUGCCUCAUGUUGUGAUCCACAGUGAAUUCUCUUGUUGAGAUUCAAGUAUGUGUAGAAUGAUUGCAUGGUAGCUCAGUCUUGGGGGUUUUCCUGACGCUCCAAUGGUCUUUCAUUCUCAAGUAGAGAGGAUUGAUCCAUGUGGUGAGGAGUAGCAGGAGGUCCUAGUCUUGGAGGCUUCCAGUAUGCUCCAGGGCGCGAAACGGACUAACCUCGUGAGUGUGGUAGGGUGGAACCCAUUGGCAACGGCUUUGCAAAGCAGUAGAGGCCACCACGAGUGCAUAACCCGCCAUAGCUCGGUAAUCAUUCUAGUCCGGACGAGUCGGUUUAUAAAGUAAUAAGUCUUGUGAUGUCAUUUUACCAUGUUUUGAGUGACUUUUGCAUGUCGUGUGAGGUUGAAUAACAUGCUUUUUUUUAUAUCUAGCUCACCCUUGCUUGUUUGUGUUGCUUGUGUAUGUUUCUUUUGCGAUGAUCAUCCACUUUGGUGGGAGUAGAUGGCGAGGAGGUUUUUUUGGAGACGGCCUUAGAAGUUGAGGACAAUGCUGCUGCCUAGUCUCCUUAGGAUGUUAUCGAUUAUUGUUAGGAUGUUAUCGAUUAUUGUCUGUAUUUUGAAAUACUGUUUCCUUUAAGUUUAAUUUCUGAAAUUACUUUGAGGAUGAGUGUAAUCAUUAAUUAUUCUUGA